GGGCCGUUAGCUCAGUUGGUAGAGCAACUGACUUUUAAUCAGUGGGUCGCUGGUUCGAGUCCAGCACGGCUCACCA
rnacentral:tRNA from 1 species